UGGACUGUAAAGGGUUUUUCUUAAA
rnacentral:piRNA from 1 species